rnacentral:rRNA from 1 species
GUAGGGAAUAUUGCGCAAUGGACGAAAGUCUGACGCAGCGACGCCGCGUGAGUGAUGAAGGCCUUAGGGUCGUAAAGCUCUGUUGAAUGGGAAGAAAAAAAUGACGGUACCAUUCGAGGAAGGACCGGCUAACUUCGUGCCAGCAGCCGCGGUAAUACGAGGGGUCCUAGCGGUGUUCGGAAUCAUUGGGCGUAAAGGGUGUGUAGGUGGCCAUGUAAGUCAGGUGUGAAAGCCCCGGGCUCAACCCGGGAAGUGCACUUGAUACUGCGUGGCUUGAGUACCGAAGAGGGUAGUGGAAUUCCAGGUGUAGUGGUGAAAUACGUAGAUAUCUGGAGGAACACCGGUGGCGAAGGCGGCUACCUGGUCGAGUACUGACACUGAGACACGAAAGCAUGGGGAUCAAACAGGAUUAGAUACCCUUGUAGUCC